rnacentral:rRNA from 1 species
GCGAGAAACCUUUGCAAUGUGCGCAAGCACGACAAGGUUAAUCCGAGUGUUUCCUGCUAAAGGAAUCUUUUGUUAGUUCUAAAACCACUGAUGAAUAAGAGGUGGGCAAGUUCUGGUGUCAGCCGCCGCGGUAAAACCAGCACCUCAAGUGGUCAGGAGGAUUAUUGGGCCUAAAGCAUCCGUAGCCGGUUCUGUAAGUUUUCGGUUAAAUCCACUAGCUUAACUAAUGGGCUGCCGAAAAUACUGCAGAACUAGGGAGUGGGAGAGGUAGACGGUACUCGGUAGGAAGGGGUAAAAUCCUUUGAUCUAUUGAUGACCACCUGUGGCGAAGGCGGUCUACCAGAACACGUUCGACGGUGAGGGAUGAAAGCUGGGGGAGCAAACCGGAUUAGAUACCCCCGUAGUCCCUGAGCGGGC